rnacentral:rRNA from 1 species
GAUGAACGCUAGCGGCAGGCUUAAUACAUGCAAGUCGAGGGGCAGCACAGGUAGCAAUACUGGGUGGCGACCGGCAAACGGGUGCGGAACACGUACACAACUUACCUUAGAGUGGGGGAUAGCCCAGGGAAACUUGGAUUAAUACCCCAUAAAACAGGGGGCCCGCAUGGGCAUAUUGUUAAAGAUUUAUCGCUUUAAGAUGGGUGUGCGUAUGAUUAGGUAGUUGGUAGGGUAAAGGCCUACCAAGCCGACGAUCAUUAACUGGUGUGAGAACACGACCAGUACCCCGGGCACUGAGACACGGCCCGACUCCGACGGGAGGCAGCAGUAAGGAAUAUUGGUCAAUGGACGGAAGUCUGAACCAGCCAUGCCGCGUGAAGGAUGAAGGUCCUCUGGAUUGUAAACUUCUUUUAUAGGGGGCGAAAAAGGGCCAUUCUUGGUCAACUGACGGUACCCUAUGAAUAAGCACCAGCUAACUCCGUGCCAGCCGCCGCGGUAAAAC